rnacentral:rRNA from 1 species
UACAGAGGGGGCAAGCGUUGUUCGGAAUUACUGGGCGUAAAGGGCGCGUAGGCGGCCCGCUAAGUCGAACGUGAAAUCCCCGAGCUCAACUCGGGAACUGCGUCCGAUACUGGCGGGCUUGAAUCCGGGAGAGGGAUGCGGAAUUCCAGGUGUAGCGGUGAAAUGCGUAGAUAUCUGGAGGAACACCGGUGGCGAAGGCGGAUCU